rnacentral:rRNA from 1 species
GAUGAACGCUAGCGGCAGGCUUAACACAUGCAAGUCGAGGGGUAUGCCGAUUUAUCGGCAGAGACCGGCGCACGGGUGCGUAACGCGUAUGCAAUCUACCUUUCACAGAGGGAUAGCCCAGAGAAAUUUGGAUUAAUACCUCAUAGUAUAGCAAUUUCGCAUGAAACCACUAUUAAAGUUCCAACGGUGAAAGAUGAGCAUGCGUCCCAUUAGCUAGAUGGUAAGGUAACGGCUUACCAAGGCAACGAUGGGGUAGGGGUCCCGUGAGAGGGAGAUCCCCCCACACUGGUACUGAGACACGGACCAGACUCCUACGGGAGGCAGC